rnacentral:rRNA from 1 species
UACGUAGGGUGCGAGCGUUGUCCGGAAUUAUUGGGCGUAAAGGGCUCGUAGGCGGUUUGUCGCGUCGGGAGUGAAAUCCAUUGGCUUAACUGGUGGCUUGCUUUCGAUACGGGCAGACUGGAGGUAUGCAGGGGAGAACGGAAUUCCUGGUGUAGCGGUGAAAUGCGCAGAUAUCGGGAGGAACACCGGUGGCGAAGGCG